rnacentral:rRNA from 1 species
GACGACGCUGGCGGCGUGCUUAACACAUGCAAGUCGAACGGUGACGAGGAGCUUGCUCCUCUGAUCAGUGGCGAACGGGUGAGUAACACGUGAGCAACCUGCCCCAGACUCUGGGAUAACAGUUGGAAACAGCUGCUAAUACCGGAUACGAGACGGAGAGGCAUCUCUACCGUCUGGAAAGUUUUUCGGUCUGGGAUGGACUCGCGGCCUAUCAGCUAGUUGGUGAGGUAAUGGCUCACCAAGGCGACGACGGGUAGCCGGCCUGAGAGGGCGACCGGCCACACUGGGACUGAGACACGGCCCAGACUCCUACGGGAGGCAGCAGUGGGGAAUAUUGCACAAUGGGGGAAACCCUGACGCAGCAACGCCGCGUGAGUGAGGAAGGCCUUCGGGUCGUAAAGCUCUGCCAGAUGGGAAGAAAUGGAUGGGGGCUAAUAUCGCCCAUCCUUGACGGUACCAUCAGAGGAAGCACCGGCUAACUCCGUG